CCUAAGGCGAGGCCGAAAGGCGUAGUCGAUGGACAACAGGUAGAAAUUCCUGUACUACAAGAUUGUGAUUGAGAGAAGUACUGACGCAGAAGGAAAAGUCGAGCGUGCUGAUGGUUGUGCACGUCCAAAUAACAAGCCAGAAUAUACAGGCAAAUCCGUAUAUUCGUCAACGUAAGUUAUGAUGGGGAGCAGAAAGAUGCGAAGCGACAGAUUCAAACUGCCAAGAAAAGGUGCUAUCGAAUAAUCUUGUACCCGUACCGCAAACCGACACAGGUAGGCAAGAAGAGAAUUCUAAGACGCGCGGAAGAACCUUUGUUAAGGAACUCGGCAAAAUAAUCCCGUAAGUUAGCGAGAAGGGAUGCCUAAGAAAUUAGGUCGCAGAGAAUAGGCCCAAGCGACUGUUUACCAAAAACACAAGUAUCUGCUAAAUCGAAAGAUGAAGUAUAGGUGCUGACACCUGCCCGGUGCUGGAAGGUCAAGGGG
rnacentral:rRNA from 1 species